GACGAACGCUGGCGGCGUGCUUAACACAUGCAAGUCGAACGGAAAGGCCCUGCUUUUGUGGGGUGCUCGAGUGGCGAACGGGUGAGUAACACGUGAGUAACCUGCCCUUGACUUUGGGAUAACUUCAGGAAACUGGGGCUAAUACCGGAUAGGAGCUCCUGCUGCAUGGUGGGGGUUGGAAAGUUUCGGCGGUUGGGGAUGGACUCGCGGCUUAUCAGCUUGUUGGUGGGGUAGUGGCUUACCAAGGCUUUGACGGGUAGCCGGCCUGAGAGGGUGACCGGCCACAUUGGGACUGAGAUACGGCCCAGACUCCUACGGGAGGCAGCAGUGGGGAAUAUUGCACAAUGGGCGGAAGCCUGAUGCAGCAACGCCGCGUGCGGGAUGACGGCCUUCGGGUUGUAACCCGCUUUCGCCGGUGACGAAGCGUGAGUGACGGUAAUGGGUAAAGAAGCACCGGCUAACUACGUG
rnacentral:rRNA from 1 species